rnacentral:misc_RNA from 1 species
AUAUAAUAGUCAUUUCUCAUCUUUUAUUUUUAAGGGAGAUUCUAAUAAUCUAAACAAUAUGAAUUCUUUUUUCUUCAUUUUUUUCUCUUUAAUUUCUCUUUUAUUUCUUUAAGCAUCCAAAUAGAGGUUUAGAUUUCUUCUUUCAUUUUCAAUCUAUUCUCCUUGUUCCAUUUAUUUGUUGGUUUUUCAUUUAUUGUUUUUGCCAUGAAAAUUUAUAACAAGUUCGCAAUCAAUUUACUGUAUUUUCAUUAGUUUUAUGGUGUGAUGACAGAUCGUGAUUCUCUUCCUUUCCAUGCCUUGUGCAGUUGAUAAACGGCAAAUCAGUUUUAAUG